rnacentral:rRNA from 1 species
GGGGAUAACUACUGGAAACGGUAGCUAAUACCGCAUAACGUCGCAAGACCAAAGAGGGGGACCUUCGGGCCUCUUGCCAUCGGAUGUGCCCAGAUGGGAUUAGCUUGUUGGUGGGGUAACGGCUCACCAAGGCGACGAUCCCUAGCUGGUCUGAGAGGAUGACCAGCCACACUGGAACUGAGACACGGUCCAGACUCCUACGGGAGGCAGCAGUGGGGAAUAUUGCACAAUGGGCGCAAGCCUGAUGCAGCCAUGCCGCGUGUAUGAAGAAGGCCUUCGGGUUGUAAAGUACUUUCAGCGGGGAGGAAGGGAGUAAAGUUAAUACCUUUACUCAUUGACGUUAUCCGCAGAAGAAGCACCGGCUAACUCCGUGCCAGCAGCCGCGGUAAUACGGAGGGUGCAAGCGUUAAUCGGAAUUACUGGGCGUAAAGCGCACGCAGGCGGUUUGUUAAGUCAGAUGUGAAAUCCCCGGGCUCAACCUGGGAACUGCAUCUGAUACUGGCAAGCUUGAGUCUCGUAGAGGGGGGUAGAAUUCCAGGUGUAGCGGUGAAAUGCGUAGAGAUCUGGAGGAAUACCGGUGGCGAAGGCGGCCCCCUGGACGAAGACUGACGCUCAGGUGCGAAAGCGUGGGGAGCAAACAGGAUUAGAUACCCU